rnacentral:lncRNA from 1 species
AAAAGAACAUGAUUAAGAACCACUUUCUAAAUUAUGCUCAAAUAUUUCGGCCGAAGAUUUAUUGAAUCACAUCUCGAAACAUUCUCCUUAUUUAUUGAAGGUAGAGAUUCCUUAUUGUACAUUCAUGCUCCUAUGAUGAAUUAAGAGACCCUAAUAACUCAUAAGAUAAAUAUUUUACGACUUGUCUUUGUGAGCUAUCAAAGAUUAAUAACACAUCACAUGCAACAAUGAUGCCUCAAUUCUAAGGACUAAUUUGCAUUAUUGCAACUAUGAGUUCUCGUUGGAUAUGUAGAUAAAAUUACAUACGAGAAAC